UGCUGACAUAAGUAACGAUAAAGCGGGUGAAAAGCCCGCUCGCCGGAAGACCAAGGGUUCCUGUCCAACGUUAAUCGGGGCAGGGUGAGUCGACCCCUAAGGCGAGGCCGAAAGGCGUAGUCGAUGGGAAACGGGUUAAUAUUCCCGUACUUGGUGUUACUGCGAAGGGGGGACGGAGAAGGCUAUGUUGGCCGGGCGACGGUUGUCCCGGUUUAAGCGUGUAGGUGUGUGUUCCAGGUAAAUCCGGUUCACUUUAACACUGAGGCGUGAUGACGAGGCACUACGGUGCUGAAGCAACAAAUGCCCUGCUUCCAGGAAAAGCCUCUAAGCAUCAGGUAACAUCAAAUCGUACCCCAAACCGACACAGGUGGUCAGGUAGAGAAUACCAAGGCGCUUGAGAGAACUCGGGUGAAGGAACUAGGCAAAAUGGUGCCGUAACUUCGGGAGAAGGCACGCUGACACGUAGGUGAAGUGAUUUACUCACGGAGCUGAAGUCAGUCGAAGAUACCAGCUGGCUGCAACUGUUUAUUAAAAACACAGCACUGUGCAAACACGAAAGUGGACGUAUACGGUGUGACGCCUGCCCGGUGCCGGAAGGUUAAUUGAUGGGGUCAGCGCAAGCGAAGCUCCUGAUCGAAGCCCCGGUAAACGGCGGCCGUAACUAUAACGGUCCUAAGGUAGCGAAAUUCCUUGUCGGGUAAGUUCCGACCUGCACGAAUGGCGUAAUGAUGGCCAGGCUGUCUCCACCCGAGACUCAGUGAAAUUGAACUCGCUGUGAAGAUGCAGUGUACCCGCGGCAAGACGGAAAGACCCCGUGAACCUUUACUAUAGCUUGACACUGAACAUUGAGCCUUGAUGUGUAGGAUAGGUGGGAGGCUUUGAAGCGUGGACGCCAGUCUGCGUGGAGCCGACCUUGAAAUACCACCCUUUAAUGUUUGAUGUUCUAACGUGGACCCGUGAUCCGGGUUGCGGACAGUGUCUGGUGGGUAGUUUGACUGGGGCGGUCUCCUCCUAAAGAGUAACGGAGGAGCACGAAGGUUGGCUAAUCCUGGUCGGACAUCAGGAGGUUAGUGCAAUGGCAUAAGCCAGCUUGACUGCGAGCGUGACGGCGCGAGCAGGUGCGAAAGCAGGUCAUAGUGAUCCGGUGGUUCUGAAUGGAAGGGCCAUCGCUCAACGGAUAAAAGGUACUCCGGGGAUAACAGGCUGAUACCGCCCAAGAGUUCAUAUCGACGGCGGUGUUUGGCACCUCGAUGUCGGCUCAUCACAUCCUGGGGCUGAAGUAGGUCCCAAGGGUAUGGCUGUUCGCCAUUUAAAGUGGUACGCGAGCUGGGUUUAGAACGUCGUGAGACAGUUCGGUCCCUAUCUGCCGUGGGCGCUGGAGAACUGAGGGGGGCUGCUCCUAGUACGAGAGGACCGGAGUGGACGCAUCACUGGUGUUCGGGUUGUCAUGCCAAUGGCACUGCCCGGUAGCUAAAUGCGGAAGAGAUAAGUGCUGAAAGCAUCUAAGCACGAAACUUGCCCCGA
rnacentral:rRNA from 1 species